GAGUUUGAUCAUGGCUCAGAUUGAACGCUGGCGGCAGGCCUAACACAUGCAAGUCGAGCGGAUGAAGGGAGCUUGCUCCUGGAUUCAGCGGCGGACGGGUGAGUAAUGCCUAGGAAUCUGCCUGGUAGUGGGGGAUAACGUCCGGAAACGGGCGCUAAUACCGCAUACGUCCUGAGGGAGAAAGUGGGGGAUCUUCGGACCUCACGCUAUCAGAUGAGCCUAGGUCGGAUUAGCUAGUUGGUGGGUAAAGGCCUACCAAGGCGACGAUCCGUAACUGGUCUGAGAGGAUGAUCAGUCACACUGGAACUGAGACACGGUCCAGACUCCUACGGGAGGCAGCAGUGGGGAAUAUUGGACAAUGGGCGAAAGCCUGAUCCAGCCAUGCCGCGUGUGUGAAGAAGGUCUUCGGAUUGUAAAGCACUUUAAGUUGGGAGGAAGGGCAGUAAGUUAAUACCUUGCUGUUUGACGUUACCAACAGAAUAAGCACCGGCUAACUUCGUGCCAGCCGCCG
rnacentral:rRNA from 1 species